GAACAUUUUCAUAAGCUCUUAAAGGUGCACUAUGAGUUCCUGCAUGACGACACUUCUGUUGAUGUUCCAUGUAAA